rnacentral:rRNA from 1 species
UUAUAUAAAAAAUAAAGUGAUACCUGUAAUUGUUCUUCUAAAAAAGAAAACAGAUUGGUUUAUCUUUAUAACAUAAGCUUGGCUCUGACUUAAAAAUAUAACUAUAGCAAAGAAAUACACAUGGUUUUUAUUGAUAGUAGUGAGGUUUGAAAUUAAAUAAAUUUAAAUAUAAAAUUUAAUGGUAUUUAUUUCAUAAGUAUUAUUUUAUAAAUGAUUCUAAGAUUGUACCACUAUACACCAGUGUCAAAUAUUAAUAAAGAAGUGAAAGCUUGCCUUAGUUAAGCUAAGAGAUUUGGUUAACUUGGUGCCAGCAUCCGCGGUUAGACCAAGAAAUUAAGUUAUAUAUUAUAGGUAAAAAAGAUAGUUAAACUAUAUUAAUACAAGUUUUAAGAUUUCUUAUCUAAAAGUAAAAUUUGAAAAUAAGAAAAUAUUUUAAUAUAAACUUGAUUAAAUGUUGAAGCUAUGAAAACUUAGGGAUAAACUAGGAUUAGAUGCCCUACUAUUCUAAGUUAUAAAUUAAUAUACUAUAUACCUGAGUACUACGAGUCUAAAAACUUAAAACUCAAAGAGCUUGGCGGUACUUUAUACCUUUCAGGGGAACCUGUCUCGUAAUCGACAAUCCACGUUCUACCUUACCUUUUUUAGCCUUAAAUCAGUUUGUAUACCGUUGUCGUUCAGGUAACUUUUUAAAAAAUAGAAGUUGGCAAAAAAGACUUUAAUCUUAAACGUCAAAUCAAGGUGCAGCCUAUAAAGAGGAGAAGAUGGGUUACAAUUAAAAAUUAUAACUACGGAAUAAGAAUUUAAAUAUUUUUAUAAAGGAGGACUUGAAAGUAAAAACCUGUAGAUAAAGUUUUUGAAUAUGGCUCUGAAGUGUGCACACAUCGCCCGUCGCUCUCGUUGAAAAAUGAGAUAAGUCGUAACAUAGUAGGAGUAAUGGAAAUUGUUCCUGGAUG